rnacentral:rRNA from 1 species
UACGGGGGGGGCAAGCGUUGUUCGGAAUUACUGGGCGUAAAGGGCUCGUAGGUGGCCAACUAGGUCAGACGUGAAAUCCCUCGGCUUAACCGGGGAACUGCGUCUGAUACUGGAUGGCUUGAGUUCGGGAGAGGGAUGCGGAAUUCCAGGUGUAGCGGUGAAAUGCGUAGGUAUCUGGAGGAACACCGGUGGCGAAGGCGGCAUCCUGGACCGACACUGACGCUGAGGAGCGAAAGCCAGGGGAGCAAACGGG